UAGGGAAUAUUAGUAAUGGGCGAAAGCCUGAACUAGCAACGCCGCGUGUGCGAAGAAGGCCUUCGGGUUGUAAAGCACUUUUUGAGAGGAUGAGGAAGGACGGUACUCUCAGAAUAAGUCUCGGCUAACUACGUGCCAGCAGCCGCGGUAACACGUAGGAGGCGAACGUUAUCCGGAUUUACUGGGCGUAAAGCGCGUGUAGGUGGUUUGGUAAGUAGGGCGUGAAAGCUCCUGGCUCAACUGGGAGAGGCCGUUCUAAACUGCCGAACGAGAGGAUGGUAGAGGGAGGUGGAAGUCCGGGUGUAGCGGUGGAAUGCGAAGAUAGCCGGAGGAACACCAGGGGCGAAAGCGGCCUCAUGGACCAUUCAUGACACGCAGACGCGAAAGCUAGGGUAGCAAACGG
rnacentral:rRNA from 1 species